AACGAACGCUGGCGGCGUGCCUAACACAUGCAAGUCGUGCGAGAAAGUUCCUUCGGGAGCGAGUAAAGCGGCGCACGGGUGAGUAACACGUAGGUAACCUGCCCCCCAGUCUGGAACAACUAGAGGAAACUCUAGCUAAUGCCGGAUGAGACCACGAUCCCUUCGGGGGUUGCGGCCAAAGAUGGCCUCUACUUGUAAGCUAUCGCUGAGGGAUGGGCCUGCGGGCCAUUAGCUUGUUGGUGAGGUAACGGCUCACCAAGGCUGUGAUGGCUAGCUGGUUUGAGAGGAUGACCAGCCACACUGGGACUGAGACACGGCCCAGACUCCUACGGGAGGCAGCAGUGGGGAAUAUUGCGCAAUGGGCGAAGCCUGACGCAGCGACGCCGCGUGGGUGAUGAAGGCC
rnacentral:rRNA from 1 species